rnacentral:rRNA from 1 species
UACGUAGGCAGCGAGCGUUGUUCGGAGUUACUGGGCGUAAAGGGUGUGUAGGCGGUUGUUUAAGUUUGGUGUGAAAUCUCCCGGCUCAACCGGGAGGGUGCGCCGAAAACUGGAGGGCUAGAGUGCGGGAAGGGAGAGUAGAAUUCCUGGUGUAGCGGUGAAAUGCGUAGAUAUCAGGAGGAAUACCGGUGGUGUAGACGGCUCUCUGGACCGCGACUGACGCUGAGACACGAAAGCGUGGGUAGCAAACAGG